rnacentral:rRNA from 1 species
UGGGGAAUUUUGCGCAAUGGGGGAAACCCUGACGCAGCAACGCCGCGUGGAGGAUGAAGUCUCUUGGGACGUAAACUCCUUUCGAUCGGGAAGAUAAUGACGGUACCGAUAGAAGAAGCCCCGGCUAACUUCGUGCCAGCAGCCGCGGUAAUACGAGGGGGGCAAGCGUUGUUCGGAAUUAUUGGGCGUAAAGGGCGCGUAGGCGGUUUGGCAAGUUUCGUGUGAAAACUUCGGGCUCAACUCGAAGCCUGCACGGAAAACUGCCGGGCUUGAGUAUGGGAGAGGUGAGUGGAAUUUCCGGUGUAGCGGUGAAAUGCGUAGAUAUCGGAAGGAACACCUGUGGCGAAAGCGGCUCACUGGACCGUAACUGACGCUGAGGCGCGAAAGCUAGGGGAGCAAACAGGAUUAGAUACCCUGGUAGUCCUAGCCCUAAACGAUGAUUGCUUGGUGUGGCAGGUACCCAAUCCUGCCGUGCCGAAGCUAACGCGAUAAGCAAUCCGCCUGGGGAGUACGGUCGCAAGGCUG